rnacentral:lncRNA from 1 species
UAGUGAGAGAUGCUUCGCCUAGGGCCCGGGAGGUAUAUUGUAUUUCAAAGGUGUAAGUUAUCCUGCCUACUGGGGUGGUGCAUCUCCCUCCUUCUUGCCAAUUCCCCAGAUGAGCUCAGUUUUGCAAGAGGCGCAAUGUAGCCUUGGGAUUUUAAUUUUGAUUUGAUUUGUUUCAUUCCAGGUUCAUCCAGUGGCAAUAAAAAUAUAGGGGGGAGGGAUAGCUCAGUGGUUUGAGCAUUGGCCCGCUAAACCCAGGGUUAUAAGUUCAAUUCUUAAGGGGGCCACUUAGGGGUCUGGGGCAAAAAUCAGUACUUGGUCCUGCUAGUGAAGGCAGGGGGCUGGUCUUGUCUUGAUGACCUCUCAAGGUCCCUUCCCAUUCUAGGAGAUAGGAUAUCUCCAUUUAUUUAUUUAACAGUGUGAACAUAAUCAACCUCAGCUUAGACACUGAAGGGCUGACUUUGCUGCUUCAGAGAAUUUGGCCCUGGAUCUUAGAGAAAAUUGAAGGGAAAGCAACAACAACAACAAGCUUGCAGCAGGCAGAAUAUCUUGGGGCCCCACUGCUUGGAUACAACCGGUUCAGUUUCCUUCUCCGCACUAGGCAGCAGCCGGAAUGUGACCUUAGUAAUAUGUACAGCACAGAAACAAGGACCAAAUCCCUUUUUAACCACCAUCAAAAGGAGAGCCUAAAUGAGUUUGCAGGGAAUAGCAGCAGCAGAUGUUCAUUCGAACCACUGUGUCAACAUCUAAAAAUCAGUAUGACAGCUCAUCAGAUGCCACUGAAGGAAAAGAAGGAGCCUGUGAUAAGCUAUUACAGUGUUUACCUGAACAGAUUUUGCUUUGUGCCCUAAAUCCUUGUUAGCUCGUUUCAUGGUACAAAGAAAGAAACUCCAAAUCUGUUCUGUUAAAGUGUGUGAAUAAUGGACAUGAGUAAAGUGUCAUAGACUGAUGACCUCCUGAACUGGUCAAUGAAGCAGUAGUAAUUAUUAUGGCACAUAAAAGCUAUAAGGAGUCAGACUGAAAGACAAAUGCCUA